GAUGAACGCUGGCGGCGUGCCUAAUACAUGCAAGUCGAGCGAACAGACGAGGAGCUUGCUCCUCUGACGUUAGCGGCGGACGGGUGAGUAACACGUGGAUAACCUACCUAUAAGACUGGGAUAACUUCGGGAAACCGGAGCUAAUACCGGAUAAUAUAUUGAACCGCAUGGUUCAAUAGUGAAAGACGGUUUUGCUGUCACUUAUAGAUGGAUCCGCGCCGCAUUAGCUAGUUGGUAAGGUAACGGCUUACCAAGGCGACGAUGCGUAGCCGACCUGAGAGGGUGAGAGGCCACAGUGGAAAUGAGACAGGGGCCAGAGUACUAAGGGAGGAAGAAGUCGGGAAGGUUCAGCAAGGGGUGAAAGCAUGAAGGAGCAAAGGUGCGGGAGUGAGGAAGGUAUUAGGAUCGUAAAAAUAUGUUAGGAGGGAAGAAAAAAUGGGUAAGUAAAUAUGCACGUCUUGACGGUACCUAAUAAGAAAGAAACGGAUAACUACGUG
rnacentral:rRNA from 1 species